CAUCCGUCAUCACCAAGCGCCACCACUGACGCAAACAUCCUGCUCCUGCUCCUUGAUCUGCUCUGUGUUUACUUCUAAGCAGUUUUUUAAAAUACAGAUUGAAUCAGCCGUGGACGCCGCAGUCUGUUAGCUGUUUUCUGUGUUUGGACCCCCGCCAGGAGCCGAACUCUGGAGAUGGACAGCGAAAUCCAGCGAGACGGGAGAGUCCUGGACCUCACCGAUGACGCUUGGAGGGAAGACAAGCUGCCCUACGAAGACGUCACCGUGCCGCUGAGUGAACUUCCUGAAGCUGAGCAGGACAACGGCGGGUCCACAGAAUCGGUGAAGGAGCAGGAGAUGAAGUGGACGGACCUGGCCCUGCAGAGCCUGCAUGAGAACACGCCGAGCUCUGGAAGCUGAAGAGUUGAUCCUCCUUUCCUUCAUUUCAUUGUUUCGUGUAACAUUUGUCAUGAAUUGUAUGUUAUCUGAGCUCAACUUUGAUGCUUUUGUGUGACGUAUUUUUAUGUUGAAAUGCAUUUCCUUGAAUUUUUUUGUUUUGUUUAAUUUCCUAAGAUCUACACGUUUUCCUUUGAUGUUCUGGUUGAUUUUUCUCUAAUAUUCAUAUAAAUUAUUAUGCCAGGAAUAUCAUCUCAUUGCAGUUCUAGACCUGUUUAGUCAAAUUUAUUGUCUUUGAAAAGUUUCUAAGAAAAACACGCAUUUCUGACAAACAGGAAUAUUUUAUUUUAGCUACAAUCAUCUUUAUUUCUAUACCACCUUUCAUCAACAAGGUGCUUUACAUAAAAGACGUAUAUAAACAUAGUUUGAACAAUAAAAAGUCAUGACACAAUAGAUUAAAUGCAACAAAAGGACACAAUAAAGCUGAUUUGGUGUUUUUUAAUUUUUUUUAAAAAUAUCAACCAGUAUGUUUUAGAUUUGACUGCAUUUACAACUAUAGGAUUUCCUGUUAGUAAGUACUAAAAGUCAAAAUUUUAAGGAGUUAAAAAAUAAACAUCUGAAAUGUUACUUUUAGGUUUGAUUUAAAAAAACAAAACAAAUGUAAUGUAUUUACCGGUAAUUAUUUUCUUACCCUAAAACAGAAAAAACAUUUCACGUUGUGAUGUUUAUGUUGUUUAUCAACUGAAUACUUCUAUUUUACUUUAAAUAGUGUGCAGGUUCAACAAAAUUUGGUGGCAUUUCUUUUAUAAUGAAAUGAAUUAGAAAUGUGGUUUCUCAUUUUAAGAUUUUUUUUCUUAAUUUAUAAUGACGAGAAUGAUUGGUGACGAGAGCAAAAAGAGGAAACUGUCUCCGAGGUCAAACAAACUGAUUAAUCUCUAUUAGAAAAUUAAUGUAAUUCACCGGGUUAAAUGUGUUCGCUGUAUUUCCGUUUUAAAAUCUUUUUGGUCUGAAUAAUUUUAUUUUCACGUCGUCUGAAAAAGUUUAAAUUAGAUCAGACGUGUUUAAACAGAUGCAAAAAACAUAAAGAAAACUCUUCGUGUGCGGUUUUGGCUGCCUCGCCAUUUGCACUCCGCUCGCUUUUGGCUCAUUUCCCCACAGAACACGCGAUUCAUGAACGCAGCACAUCACAAUGGCCUGUUUGCUCACGAGCGCAGAAAAGGAGUCCGCGUGCAGAGCCGCACGAGGAACGAGCAGGCAACAGGAGGCUGUUUGGACCGUGUGCACACACGAAACCCCUACAAACAUCCCAAAAAAUAAGAAUGUUGGUCUAAUUAUCCAAAAAAAAAUUGAUAAUCACCUUUUUUUAGGUGUUUUGUAAAAGUAAAACAAAUUUAAAUGUUUAUUAAACUCAACACUAAAUAUUAUUGCCUUUAUUUUCACGAUAUUUCCAGAAUUAAACUUCAGCUUUUAACAAUUGGGAUAUUCUUAAAAAUAAUGUAAACGGACAUUUACUUAAAAAAGUUGAUAUCGAGGUUUUGUAUUUAGUAGAUUAGUGUUUUAUUGUUUGUUAGGGAAAUCCUAAUAGUUCAAUAGACAGAUAAUUUUUUGGAGAUAAAAACUUUUGUUUUGUUUUUUUGUGCCAUGUUAUGUUUUACUUCCUUUUUUAUGUUUUAAUAUGUAAACCAUUUUUAUUUGUAUGAUUCUAUACUGUUGUUUAUGCUCAUUAAGCCUUUUGGACAAACUUUUUUUUAUUAUUUUUAUUCACAAAAGGUGCCAACAAAACAAAUGUUCCUCGCGCCUGUUUGAGUACUCUUGACUUAUUAAAUAACUCACGGGAGUGAAAAAAGGUUUAGGAUUUAUUGUUCUGGAAAACAGCCUUAUAUAAUAUUUAAAAAACAAAGUGUCCUUGGAUGAAAAUUUGUUUUCCCGCAGCUGAGUGUUUCUCUAAAGUCGUGUGCACAGACCUUUAAUGAUCUGCGCCGUUGCAGCGUGACUGGCGUGUUUUGCACCCGGUUCUGUUUUCCUCUGAGCCCUAUAAAAGACCCGCCCCUUUCCAUUCAUUCACACCGACUCGACUCUGACAGACGGACCUGCAGCGGCUCUCUAAAGGAUCAAGCAGCCUUUAAAGAAAAAUAAUAAUGGACCCCUGCGACUGCUCCAAAACUGGAAAAUGCAACUGCGGCGGCUCUUGCACCUGCACAAACUGCUCCUGCACCAGCUGCAAGAAAAGCUGCUGUGCAUGCUGCCCAUCCGGCUGCACUAAGUGCGCAUCUGGCUGCGUGUGCAAAGGGAAGACCUGCGACACUACUUGUUGUCAGUGAAGAAUCUGCUGCACUUCCACCCUUUGGAUUUAACGUGCCAUUUGUCCAUGUUGUCUAGAGAAAUGUGUUUUGUACUUUGUCUGUAAUUUCUGAAUAAAUGUCUUAAAGCAUUAAA